UCCGUAGGUGAACCUGCGGAAGGAUCAUUAACCUUUCAAAUCAGGGUGCGGCGCGGCCGCCGAGGAGCGGAAACAAUCCUUGGGAGGUAUGCGGGGGCUUCGAGCCCCCCAUUUACGCACGCACGACUGCCAUCCUUACUUUACGAGCACCUUCUGUUCUCCCUCGGCGGGGCAACCUGCCGUUGGAACCGAAUAAACUCUUUUUGCAUCUAGCAUUACCUGUUCCGAAACAAAUAAUCGUUACAACUUUCAACAAUGGAUCUCUUGGCUCUGGCAUCGAUGAAGAACGCAGCGAAAUGCGAUAAGUAGUGUGAAUUGCAGAAUUCAGUGAAUCAUCGAAUCUUUGAACGCACAUUGCGCCCCUCGGUAUUCCGUGGGGCAUGCCUGUUCGAGCGUCAUCUACACCCUCAAGCUCUGCUUGGUGUUGGGCGUCUGUCCCGCCUCCGCGCGUGGACUCGCCCCAAAUUCAUUGGCAGCGGUCCUUGCCUCCUCUCGCGCAGCACAUUGCGCUUCUCGAGGGGCUACGGCUCGCGUCCAACAAGCACAUUUACCGUCUUUGACCUCGGAUCAGGUAGGGAUACCCGCUGAAUCUUAAGCAUAUCAAUAAGCGGAGGA
rnacentral:rRNA from 1 species